AACUAUAACGGUCCUAAGGUAGCGAAAUUCCUUGUCAGGUAAGUUCUGACCCGCAUGAAAGGCGUAAUGAUUUGGGCACUGUCUCAACAGCCCGCCCGGCGAAAUUGUAGUACCGGUGAAGAUGCCGGUUACCCGCGACAAGACGGAAAGACCCCAUGGAGCUUUACUGUAGCCUAAUAUUGGGUUUCGAUGUUGCAUGCACAGGAUAGAUGGGACACUAGGAAGCAGGUGCUUUGGCGCUUGUGGAGUGGCCGUUGGGAUACCAUCCUUGCGAUAUUGGAAUUCUAACCUGCGGCUCUGAAUCGAG
rnacentral:rRNA from 1 species